GCCCCCUUCACACGUGCAGACAAAGAGACCAAACAACACAACCAAAAUAUUCCCGUAUAAACUUUUUGAGGGACGAUGACGGCUUUCCAGUAUGUCUGGAAAAGUACGGUCCAAGCCACAUUUUGUAAAUACUGUAGUUAUUUGGGAUUUAAUUCAAGUUGUAGACUUGUUUUUUUAGAAAAAAAGUUGCUGAGAGUUGGUGCGUCAGCCUGCAAAGUUGAGCACAAAACGGAGAGGAGCGUUCCUUUGUUCUGCGAAGAGCUUUGAUGGGAGAUCGUGGAAGGAUCACUGCAGUUAUCCUUUUUUCUAUCUGCUUUUAAAUUCUUUAGAGACCAAAGGAAAAUCUGGAAAAGUACGAUUGCCUGGUAUUUUGCAGGAUGCUGUAGAAGGAUAUAUAAAAAGGAAACUCCUGGAUACUUCUUAUUUACUGGAUUUACAGUAACCUGCAAUACACAGUCUUCAAUAGAAACAUGGAAACGUCUGGCUCAGGUGCUUUUUUGUGCUUCAUAAACACAAGAGUUAUAUCCAUUGGAUUUAUUCAAAAUCCGGAUUACAGUGGUUUUCAUGAUGCAAAUCGUUCUGAAACUGGAUUAAAGUAUUGGAAUAUUUAACCGCUGUAAUCAGAAACGAUUCAAGGUAAUCCGAAGACUACACUCGUCUACAGUCAGACACUUGCUAGAUCUCCACUAAACCAGUUAUAUCAUCUAGUUUGUGGUGUGGAUUGAAAGAAAUGCUGAAAAGAUUGAAGGAUAACAUUAAUGUGAAUAAUGAAAACCCCCCAGUUAUCUUACCUAGUAUCUUUGAAUGUGGAGAACAAUACAUGGUUGAAGACGCUAAUCCUCAACAAGUAACCCGUUAAUUACAGCUCUCCCUUGGAGCAUGUCACAUUGAGCUUCUGCCACCAGGGGCCUCACAGCUGAAAGAAAGAAUGGAAAGGGCGAUGCUACUGAUUUCUAAUGAGUAAAUGAAGACACCUGAUCUGUCUGAAUCCAGCUCCUAGUAUGGAUCCAAUGUUGUCUUCCGACAGCUUCCAGUCUCUUCAGAUUCAUGAUUCCUUUUCUCCAUUCGCCAUAUCUGUUUCACCCAGCUCUUGCUGAGCUCUUACACUUCGGCUCUCUGCUGUCUACCGAGGAUCACCAAUUCCUUGCACUUGGAUCUCUGUCAGUCAGCAACUGUAGCAGUCUAGCCCGGGGUAUAACAAUUUGCAGCCUAAGCCCAUUCCAUUCCUCCAUCCAAAUUGUCUUUUGUCAAAGUAGUGGGUAAAUGGUGUAACCACAUUCCACCUGGAUUAUUCUAAUCAAGAAAUGUAAUGAAAAAAACUAGUAUCACACCCUCGAAAUCCAAGACUUUAUUUUAAUCACAAAAAAUCAUAAUAAAAGUACAAUCUCAAUCAGUGAUCAAGAUAAUUUAUUGAUAAUAUCUACCGUCUAUGUUUGUCCAAUCGGAGCCUUCAUGCUUGGUUGAAUGUUUUGAUUGGUCAUUAGUAGUUUUCAUUGGUCAUUCCAACCCUAAUUUAGGAGGAGAAUGUGAUGUGGAUAGUGAGGUUUAUCAGUGUAACUCACAUGGAUGAAGAAAUGACAAACCAUUUGUACUGUAAGUACAAGGCUGUCAGAUACCCCUCCCACUUGAUGUUUAAAGAGUCAGGGAGCUGCUGCAAGAGAGGAUGGGGUGGAUAGAGGGAUGUGAAAGACAUGCAAGGAACCAAGAAAAUGUCAUAUUUAUACAUAUUGUAGGUAGGUAUAAGGGGGCGGUUUGACCUCUUUCCAAAAGAUUGUUUUAAAUUUUAUAGCUUUUCCAAUUUUAUCUGAAAAUGACUAUAUAUAAAGAGCAUGGAGAACACCUGUUUGUACUAUAUGUCGGAUGCAGGUCAUGUACUGUGGCUGAAACCUUUGUUGCAAUCUCCAAUUAAAGUUUUGGAUGUGUAGAAAGUUUUGGGUAUUUUAUCUUUUUUGAUUAAUAUAUUUUUGUCUGAACUUCAAUUGUUCUCAAGCCAAACUUAAUACCUCUUUUUAAGUCUAUUAUAUAUAUAUAGGAUACUUAAUUGUAUUUUUGAGGUUCACACACAUUUUUAUAGUUUAUUUUUUAUCCCAGCUUGUUUAAUGUCAUUAUGCUUUUUGAUAACUCUUUUAAUUCUUCUCCUUUUAUUUUUAGCUGAGCUAGCACUUCCAUGCCGAAUGAGGAAAUCAGAUAACUUUUGUUACAGACCUUCAGAGUUAGUAGUUGCUGUUUAGAGAAUGUAGGACUACAUUCCUAAGACAACUCCUGUCAACAGGAAAAGAGAUUCUUGUCAGUUAAUCUUUUUAUAGAACACCUUCUCAAGGUGACAGCUAUCUGAGUGAAGGUCUUUAAAAUCAGUAAUACUGAGCUUUAUUUAACUUCAGUAGGAAAAUUACGGUACUAAAAAAAUACAAUGAAGAUAUCCAGAAUUUCUGACCAAGCAUGAUUAGUCUUUUUCUACAGUAUAUCACUAUGUACAGCAUCCUUGGGUUUGGAGAGGUUCUAUAAAUAAAACAUUUUUUUUUUUCGUUUUGACCUAAUACUGUAACCUAUCUGUUAGCCCAACAGGCAUUUUUCCAUAACUUUUAUAAUAAAGCCAUUGUGAAUUCAGAGCACACACACCUGUGUUUUUGUUAAGUAAGAUCCGUAUUGAUGCAGUCUAUUCUUAAUGCUACAAACUAGAUGUGCACUGUAAAUUGAACAUCCCCUACAAACCUCACCACAUCAAUCUCCACUGUUCCCAGUUGUGCCGUUUUCCUAGGCGAAUUACUUGCCUUAAGAAUAAAAUACUUUGGUUGUGGCAUAGUCUACACCAAAGUAUUGCAUUCUAUAAUUUUAAUCUCUGACAUUUUAUUACUUUCUGCACCCUAUUCACUCUUUGUUGUCUUUUUCAGUGACCAGGAAGUAAUAUAUACUGUCAUAUAUACUGUAGCAGAGUUCAAUAUAUUGGAUAUAUAUACUGGGUGACCUUACAACCAAUGUUUCUUCAACACGAUUGUUUUGAAAUAGCAAAAAGAAAAACACUUUUUAAGUUUUUUGGAGCUGCCAUGAUGGGAAAAAAUAUGUACAUUUGUGGAAAAUGGUUAGCAUGUGAAAAGUUCACAACACAAAUCAGAACAAUGUGGCACAAAGAAUUAUCACCAUAUGAAGUCAAUAUGCAAAACUUUAGCAUAUUAAAAUUGACAGCCCUUAUAGGGCUUAUAGGGGUCAGAAACAAGAUUGAACAAAGAUUCAUCUAUAGUAGGUGUGUCAAUGCACAUAAAUUACACAAAGACAGAAAGUAGUACAAGAAAGAGAGGGCCUUUAUGUCUAUUGAGCUUGUUUGGUUGUUAGUAGUUAACUAGCAGCCAAGUUGUAAGUGAUCUACACUACAUGUACAGUAUCUGCACUGUGCAUAUGAAAUGUUUUUUUUACUAAAUGGAUCAAAUGAGUAAUAAUAGUAACACUGCGUACAGGUACUGCUACACUUGACCAAGUAUUAUUUGUGGGACUGUUAGCCAACAAUAAGGUCUACAUCAGUUUUUUCAAGUUGCAGUAUAAUUUAGGGAAAAUAAUUAUUGGUGCCCUUAGAGCAAGAAACUACUUCCCUGACAUCUCUCAGAGAAAGGUAAGCAGAGUAAAUAUUUCUUUCCUUCAAGAUGUGCAUUUUCAUUGAUCCAUUAAUCCAAUGUUUUUGCUAUAAUUUGCAAAGGUUGCUGCAUCUCCCUCUUCACCAUGGACUAGUACAUAUUUUCUUUGUGGGUAAAAGACUAGUACAUAUUUUUUUGGGGGGCAAACUAAAAUCUUAUCUUAAAUGUUUUAAUUGUUUUUUUUUUGUGAUUUAGGAGACAAUAUGUAAAACGCAACCAAGGAACCAGCUUUUCUUUUCAGUCUGUGUAAUCAUAAUAACAUGGUACUGUAGAUUUUCUUUUUGUAAAUUAAAAAAUAAUAGGUAAAAUUGUUUUCUUGAAAUAAGUUUUGAUCAAGCAUUCAGGGAAAUAUGAUUAAGUUUAGGUUCUCAUUGUUAUGUUAUGUUUAUCACUUUCAUUUGGGCAAAAAUAUCUGUAAAAAAAUAGAAGUUGAUAUAAGUGAGCAUUUGUUUUCAGACAACAAAGCUACUAGCUAAUGUAAAUCUAAACUGAGUUAUAAAGAAUUGUGAUUAUUUCAGAACGUACUAUUAUGUGUUUGAGGCCGAAAGGUUUUUCCCCUUGUGAAAGUUACAGCAUUCAGUUGAGGGCUUUUGGUUAGCAAUAAAAACCAGCAAUGCAGAUUGUUUGAUACAUCUGGUGUUUGGUGCCACAUUCUAAUGCCAAAGUGAACUGAAGUCACUUUAUCUUUAAAAACCUUGUUUUCUUGAGUAGUGCACAUCCUGAAAACUUACAAAACCAAUCUUCUACUAAUACUCAGUUUUAAACUUAAUGGUGCCAUUUUAAUUGUAUAUUAUUUGGCUGUAUUACAUUUGCCAAAAUCUUUUGCCUGUGAUGCAAAAUAGACAUGUGCUGUAGAGCACCAGGAGAAUGUUUUACACUAUAAAACAUGACUUAAUCCUUUGUUAAAAUAUGGCAUCCUAAUCAUAUUUAGCACCCAUGCUAAAACCCAUUAUCUGGUUCUUCUUAUUGGGAUUAUCAUGCACUACAUGGCUAACAUCAACCAAUGAAAUGGCCAGUGUCUUGCAAAGUUUCCUCAUUUUAUUGCUGUCUGAUCUUGCAAACAUGAUAAUCACAACUUUUCAAAUAAGGCUCUAUGUUUAUAAACUACAUUGUAAACAUAUAAUAUUAAUGAAUUAUAAUU